UUAGGUAAUAAAAAUACCGCAGAUCUAGUGUCCGUGCACCUCGAAGGUUCGCAAGACACUGUCCUGAACCUGUUUGCACCGCGAUAAACGAUAUUCUCCAUACAUGUUGACGGGUUUUCCCGUACAAACUUCAACCACGGGAACCCCUCCCUUUUAUCAGAAUGAACUUAAAUUUGGAAUUUUGCCUAGUGAUGGGUCAAUCUUUGAUUUCAGGGGGUAUCCCCGAGAUAGCCCGGAUUUGGACCACCCCAAUGCCUACCUAACUACGAUCGAUCAUCUUGUACCUUGGAUGCGCAGGGUAGGUUAGUUCCCGUUUCACAACCAAUCUCAGUUAGGCAGCACUGUUUUGUGCUUAGAUCUAAUUUUACAUCUAAUACAUCCAGCUUCUCAUUCUUAUUCUUUAAAAUACGCUCAUCAUUCUCUUACUAUUGAUUCUUGAUUUUUUCUUGAUUUGUCCCUCUCACUAACAUUUACACACAAGAUCCCCUGUAAUUACUCUUAGCUUUAAGAAAAAUGUAAUUACAAAAGCCCACUCGGUCCUAACCGAAAAGGACCUAAUAAAAAUAAUUUUAAUCUAAUCUAAACUAAUCUAAUCUGACCCUAGCGCAACCAAUCUUUCGUAGGGAUCCUGGAGAGUGCCUUGAGUUAGAUGACGCCUAGCACUCUUCUUGUCAUUUGUUAACAUUUGUAGUGCGCCAUUGCAUUAGAAUGCAUUGAAACAUCACAAGCGUUAAAGCGGCCAGGCCUACUGCGUGAAGCCGUAUCGCAGAGACAUGAUUCGUUUGAAGUGGGUUGAGUUUGAGCACAGAGUGUUCGAACAACAAACAACACAAUUCUGAAUCGACAGGGGAGGAAGAAGCGGGGACACAACACCAUACGCUCCGAGAUUUUGGUUGAAUUUGUUGGGAGCACCAUGCUAAGAAGGUUUGGUACUCCGAGACCCUCUGGGAUGGGACAUUGUAUUUCCACGAAUGCCCUGGACACUAUUUGCCGUGGUUAUGGAAAUGCUCGUUAUAACCCAUUAAAAAAGUUGAAAAAUCUGUAUCCUAAUUAUCUUAUUCUAAAUAGGUCUUAGCUAAGACUUUGAUAGAAAAAGUUUUUUUGAAAUCCUGUUUUUCAAUGUAAAAAAUUUAUUUUAAAUUUUUUGAUUUCAUGUACGUUUUACUUAACCAGUGGGGCAAGACGAACAACCCGUUGGGGCAAGAGGAACAAUGCACGAAAAAACAUGUUAAUUUGAUAACAAUUGCACUGUUAUCACUUAAUUACAUGAGAUUAGAAUGUUUUGGAACGUUUCUUUCAUUUUUAGAUUAAGUAAUAAUAUUUUACUAAAAAUUUUAUCGUUUGUUUUUUGUAAUUUUUUCCAUACUAAAAAUACAUAUGGUACACUUGCCCCACCUGAACAAGAUUUUUUAAAAGCUAUCAACAAAAAUAACCAAAAGUUAAAUCAUACUUUGUAAUAGGUGCAAGUCAUUGGUAGGGACACUACUGAUCUAGGAAAAAUAAAAUUUUGAUAAAAUGAGCCUUAAAACGAACCCUAAGCCUUAUUUUGUAUUUUCCAAAUAUUAUAAGAAAACAAAAGUUUUGAAAAAAAAAACUUAAUUUAAUCUUAUGCUCCGUAGCGUUUGUUGUUGCAGUUUGUUGCACUUUAAAAUAGAAACAGAAACUAUGCGUUUUGUAAUCAAAUAACGUUCGAGUUACAGUAUGUAAAAAAAGGAUUUACACCCCUUGAGCACUAUUCACAUAUUGUGAUGAAACAUCUAAACAAUUUAAUGUUAACAGAAACCCAGGGAUCUGACACGCAUACAGUUUCCUGAAGUCCCUGCCAGAGGCGCGCUGUCACCCAGUCAAAUCAAUCCGAAUGCUGAAACGGAAUCUAGUUAGAAUCGCAAUUCGCAAUUUUCAGUGUAAGAACGGGCCUUGACCGAUCUUAUGCACCAGGUUCCCGACGAACACGCACUGCCCUUACACCUACAUCUUACCCUUGCUCUGAGUCAGUACGAGCAGCACGCUAGAACACGCUUUGAGUGUUCGUGCCAGGCAUGCACACCUUCUUUUCCGGUUACGCAUUUUAACCGGGGGGCCGGGGGUGGUACAUUACGUAGGGUUUGAUGUAAGUAUAAGCGCCUAACCAUUCAAAGUGUGCCUAUCAAUUUUCAUUAAAGCAAAAACUGUUUUAUUUUUAGUUUGAAUUCAAAAACUAGUUGUUAUUUUACUGUGUAUUGUUUUCUCCUGAAAUCUUUCCUAGUGUUGAGUCGUGUUUAUCUGUUGCUAUAUCUUUUGUCGCGGUGUUUUGUUACAAUAUUUUGGUCCUAAGCAUUUUAGAAAAGUUUUUCAAAAAUACAAUAGUAAUAUUUGUGUUAAUCCUUUAAUCAUUCCAUAAAUUGAGUAAGGGCUCGAACCUCACUUGCACUUUCAGAAAUACGCAAUAGUAUUCAUGAACCAAGCCGUAAUCUUAGACAUUCACCACUUUUUAGAAUAACUGCAUACACGACAAAUUAUUUUAAAAAUUCGCCAUUAAAUCAAAUGAUGCGCUUUUAUAAUGAAAAUUCACAGUACAUACAUUUCGACAAAAAAAUCUGUACAAUAGAAAUAAUAUCUAGUAUGUAAGAAAAUUGUAAGUAGUCUACAUAAGCUUGACGAAUAAACAAUAAAUCAUAAGAAAAAAGUGAAGUUUCAAAACAAUGGACAGUGAAGGAAAUAUACUAUGUAAAGAAUCAAUAGUAAAAGAAAGAUAGUCCUCACGAAAUGAAACGUGAGGAAAGUGCUAUUUUGCGAGAGUAUAGUCCUCUCGCGUGUUCAUUCGUUCAUUGGAACAGUUCAUCCUAUUGCUUGGCUUAUAUGGACAAAUGACCGCCACUUAGUCACCGAACCAUGGUGGCCCAUACGGCAAAGGCACGGUUCAAUAUGACGAAGGUCUUGGGUUCGAGUCUCGGUGCCGGUAUUUUUUUUUGACAGAUGAACUUUUUUUGAAGAUGAACCCAUGAGUAAAGUACUCUUGAUAAUUUCGGGAUUAAUCCUCUCCGUCCGCACACAGUACCAUUUUACUACUGAAUCGCGCUAUUUAUCCUCUCGUAUGCCGAUGCCCAGUUCUGGGUGUAGAUUAAAUACUUAAAUAUUAAAUACUUAUUAAAUUUCAGUCAAAACAGCUUUAAACUAGCUAUCACUGAACACCACAGUGCUGAUAUGCCAAUAUUAGGUGCUUGACGGAACUAAAUGCUGUUCCCCUAGUUGUCCCCUGAGAUUAAAUGUAAAAAAGAAAAAAAAACAUAAAAAAGUUUUUAGUUUUGUUAUUUAUGUUCGAUGCGCAUACGACAUUUUCAAAAGCCACGCGCCAAAAACUUGGUUCGAUUAUGACUUCACUUGCUUUAUAUGUGGAUGACAGUCUUGACGUAGCCGUGCAAAUUCUGCACUGCAGAAACCUAGUACACUCAAACCCCAAUGUCUUUGACACCAACUAUUGUCAAUCGAUUGGGGUCACUUUUUAGUUUGACACCCCUUUUACACGGAUUUCAUUUUGUUCAGAAACUCAGGCCAAACAUUUUUCUACAAAAAGCUCAUGAAAAGAUGGUUUCCAUAAAAAGUUAUAUAACGAAUACUAUUACAAAAAUCAAAAAAGGUGCAAAAAAAGUUUGUACACCUUUCGAAAAAUUAACAUAAAUAAAGUUAUUUGUUGACAAAUCACCAUAAAUCCAGUCUCCCAACUCCAAAUAGGCAUCCUUGACUGAUUAAAAAAAUAAUUUGGAUUGAAUAUAAAGUUUACUUUACAUAGUAUAAAAGUUUAUAUAACUCUGGAAAUUCUAUCGAGGUUUUUAAGCGAAGAUGGCGUUCGAAUGGUGAACGCCCGAAAUGUCAAAAUCGCGCAGUGGUACCAACAUUACGGAACAAGUGUGCCAUGGCAUGACAGCCACAUUUUUUUCUAAUGUUGGUGCUACUGCGCGAUUUUGACAUUUCGGGCGUUCACCAUUCGAACGCCAUCUUCGCUUAAAAACCUGGAUAUAAAACUUAUCUAAACUUAAGGGGUUACAUACAUGUAGAAAAUCACAAAAUUUCAUAUUACAAAAAAAUUAUUGAAACCACUAAAAAGAUCACUCCUGAAACAUUCAUGAAGAUAUUCUAUGAUUAAACUGAGUUAGAGACGAUUUUAAGCUCAACAUUUUGCCGUGCGCAAAGCGGACUGUCAAACUUUCUGAGUGUUUUUCUCGAAACACCGAGUUGAUUUACGGGUGCCACGAUAACUCGAGAUGGGAUGGACCAAAUUGGCUGAAAUUCGAGGUGAAGACUCCCAAGAGAUAUUCCGUGUGCAUGACGAAGCCCGAUUUUGAAAUUUUGCUUUUUUAAAAAAUACAAAAAUCAAAAACUGAAAAACACACAAAAAUAUUUUUAUCUUUUUUUUACACAAGUUUUUUGAAAAUCGGCCUUCGUCAUGCACACAGGACUGGUUUAACGAGUCUUCACCGAAAUUUUGAGCCGAUUUAGUCAAGACAGUGUUGAGAUAUCGUGGCACCCGUUUUUUGAAAUUUCUAACUUCAAAUAGCUAUAUCUCGGCAAUGAUACAACCAAAUGUCUUCAAACUUGUUUUGAUAAUAGAUAAAAAUAUAUAUUUUAAUACCGUCAAAACAGAUUUUAAAUAAAAUUAAGUGUGUGAUCACACCAACCUCUGACUUUUUUUUGUCGAUUUACGUCUUAAUUUUUCGAUUUACCCCUUAAUUUUUCAAACUUUUAAUUUAUCUAAAUGUCAAUAUAUUACCAUAGAAUUGCUAAACAAGCAUUUUCUAGUGGGUAUAAAAUCGUUUUGGGGGUAGAUUUUUCGUUGGAAUUUACACGCACAGAAAUUGUGUAAGCUUGAAUCAACGAACAGGUUUCUCAGCAAUAACUAUCAUGUUUUAUUAAGGCAACAAACCAUAUCUACCAAUUUAAUAAACAUAGUUUAUCGACGCUACCAUGAUUUUUAUUGGUUUAACAAACUGGUUUGCCAUUUGCGCGUUUCUUUGUUCCAGCGUGUAGCCACAUUUAACAGUGUACUUGUGAAAUUUUUUCGCUGCUCAGAUCAAUAUGGCGGACGAAAGCGACUUCAAAGACGGCGUGGAAGUUGUGGAAGAAUUCGUGGUUGAAUCGUUGAGUACAGAGGAAGUGCAAGUGUUUAAUUUGCUUAGUGAGUUUCAUGUGCAGGUGGAAGUGAUUUCAGCUUAAGUAAGCAUUCGUUGUUUGUUCGAAAGAUUAGUUCUGGAUUUUUUAAAGCAAAUCGUUAUACGUUUCUUCUCAACAGAUUAUCGAGCGGUUGAAAGUGGAAGCUUUGGUCCAGCCACCUUUCUUGGAGGAUGUUAAAACCGGUAAAACGGUAUGGUUGUCUGCUUUUUCAUAAACAAUAAUCCAGAAAAUUUCUUUCCAGGGUCUUCCAGCGUUGACGUCCGAAGCGUUCCUUCCAGCGGUCGAGCCGGAGACGACGGCGCAAAUCGAUCAUUACAACGCAUCAAAACUUAUGUUUCUUACCCGAAAGGAACGAAUUGCGGUGUGCGGCAAACAUUGUUAUGGUCAACUGCUCAAAAGAUGUUCAAAAUGUCACCGUGCUAUCGCUGUCGAAUCACUUUUUAUCGUGCAAACAUCUGGUCAGCAAGACGGAAAACUGUACUAUCAAUACUGAAACAUGAAUGUGAGCAUUAAAUGAAAAUAAAGCAAUUAAAUAUUAUUUUUUUGAUUGUAUUGAUUGAUUGGCUGGAUUAUAGCAUAAACAAACAGUUUAAUGAAUCAAAAAACGUGAUGUUUAAUUCAACUCCACAUGUUUGUAGAUUCAACAAACAUGUUUGUUGCACUGACCAUAAUGAUAAUUGGAAUUACAAACAAGCUACGUUUGAAUGGCAACGAUCUCCUUUAUCAACCCCACAAACAUGUUAGGUUGAAUUUGAUAAACAUGUUUGCUGGCCCUGAGAUGACAAUCAUGUUUGUGGGGAAACCCAAACAUUUUGCUGGCUGUACUAUCGGAUUUUUCUGCGUGUUGUACCAACCCGGAAUUACGAUCAGUAGUGCGGUGCCUGUGUGGACGCGCAGUCCUGUUUUUUUUCGUGUUAUUUUCCGUCUCUUUUGUGUCGCUGUUCGAGUGCAUGGGGUGAUUGGUCAUUAUAAUUAAAAAAUGGCAUCAGUAGUGCGGUGCCUGUGUGGACGCGCAGUCCUGUUUUUUCGUGUUAUUUUCCGUCUCUUUUGUGUCGCUGUUCGAGUGCAUGGGGUGAUUGGUCAUUAUAAUUAAAUAAUGGCAUCAGUAGUGCGGUGCCUGUGUGGACGCUCAGUCCUGUUUUUUCGUGUUAUUUUCCGUCUCUUUUGUGUCGCUGUUCGAGUGCAUGGGGUGAUUGGUCAUUAUAAUUAAACAAUGGCAUCAGUAGUGCGGUGCCUGUGUGGACGCUCAGUCCUGUUUUUUCGUGUUAUUUUCCGUCUCUUUUGUGUCGCUGUUCGAGUGCAUGGGGUGAUUGUUCAUUAUAAUUAAAAAAUGGCAUCAGUAGUGCGGUGCCUGUGUGGACGCGCAGUCCUGUUUUUUCGUGUUAUUUUCCGUCUCUUUUGUGUCGCUGUUCGAGUGCAUGGGGUGAUUGGUCAUUAUAAUUAAAUAAUGGCAUCAGUAGUGCGGUGCCUGUGUGGACGCUCAGUCCUGUUUUUUCGUGUUAUUUUGCGUCUCUUUUGUGUCGCUGUUCGAGUGCAUGGGGUGAUUGGUCAUUAUAAUUAAAUAAUGGCAUCAGUAGUGCGUUGCCUGUGUGGACGCGCAGUCCUGUUUUUUCGUGUUAUUUUCCAUCUCUUUUAUGUCGCUGUUCGAGUGCAUGGGGUGAUUGGUCAUUAUAAUUAAACAAUGGCAUCAGUAGUGCGGUGCCUGUGUGGACGCGCAGUCCUGUUUUUUUUCGUGUUAUUUUCCGUCUCUUUUGUGUCGCUGUUCGAGUGCAUGGGGUGAUUGUUCAUUAUAAUUAAAAAAUGGCAUCAGUAGUGCGGUGCCUGUGUGGACGCGCAGUCCUGUUUUUUCGUGUUAUUUUCCGUCUCUUUUGUGUCGCUGUUCGAGUGCAUGGGGUGAUUGGUCAUUAUAAUUAAAUAAUGGCAUCAGUAGUGCGGUGCCUGUGUGGACGCUCAGUCCUGUUUUUUCGUGUUAUUUUCCAUCUCUUUUAUGUCGCUGUUCGAGUGCAUGGGGUGAUUGGUCAUUAUAAUUAAAUAAUGGCAUCAGUAGUGCGGUGCCUGUGCGGACGCUCAGUCCUGUUUUUUUUCGUGUUAUUUUCCGUCUCUUUUGUGUCGCUAUUUGUGUACAUGGGGUGAUUGGAUUUCUUCUUCUUCUUUUUUCAUUUAUUUUUUGUUCGCGCGUUCGUUGGCCGAUGAAUUUUAUUUUUGUUCUCUUUAUAUAGUUUUCGAUAGAAACGAUCCGAUUUUUGAGACAAGCAAGUCGUAUUGCUGGAUUAAGUCCUUUCCAUAUCAUCGAGGAUCGGAAGGCACGUCGACGGAUAUGUUUUAAGGCUUAUGAUAUAAAAUAAUUUUAAUGAAUGAAGCCCUUCCUACAUCACCGUUGAUCGGAAGGCACGCCGACGGAGAAUUUCUGGAGAAUCGCGGUCGAAUUAAUGCUAUAUUUAAAUCCCUAGAUAGGUAUCUUUCCGCAGCCGGCUGCCUAAGAUUUUUAAAAUUUCAACCGAUAAACAAAUUGCUCAUGGUCGCAUCACCUACCACAGUGAAUCCUGACCUCAUACCCAUCAUACUAACCCCUCAAAACUCAUGUGAUACUUUGUCGGAGACGCAGUCGAUUUGGCGGUCCCAUCACUCAAGUAUUGGCUAACAUUCCCAUCCACUUCCCCGUGUCUUACCACUGGUCGUGGCCGGCGUCGGUAUUGAUCAGCACGAUAGGGACCUUUGAAAAUUGCGAAGGGGUGAUGAUUGGUUCCUACUUUUCAUCUGUGGUCCACGGAGCAAUGUUUGGGGGUCCUGGUCAAUAACGAAGUAGCAGCUACGGGUAGACACCAAUGCUAUGCUAUGCUAUGUUGUACCAACCCGGAAUUACGUCGUCGGAAAAUCCGCCGGCAUCCGAACCAUUCCGGAAAAAACGGAAACGGAAUCGACGUAACACCUUAUAAUGUGGCCCUCUUAAACCUUGCGGUUUCGUCAAAUACCUAUAUUUACACUUAGAAUUUUUUGAGGCCGCCUCGAGGAUUCGCGGGUCUCGUGGCGCAGGGGUAGCGGCUUCGGCUGCCGAUCCCGAUGAUGCUAUGAGACGCGGGUUCGAUUCCCGCCUUAUCCACUGAGCUUCUAUCGGAUGGUGAAGUAAAACGUCGGUCCCGGUUUCUCCUGUCUCGUCAAAGGCGCUGGAGCAGAAAUCCCACGUUAGAGGAAGGCCAUGCCCCGGGGGGCGUAGUGCCAAUAGUUUCGUUUUUUUUUUUCUCGAGGAUUCGAACCAGCGUCCUCUGGAUUGUGAGUCCAGCGCGCGAUCCGAUUGAUCCAUACAGGCAGACAACCAUUCCACUAUUAACAAAUCCGAACCAUUCCACUAUUAACAAAUCAACCUAGCAUAGAGCAUAAAAUUUCAGAUCUUUUGAUACCCAAACAUCUAGGUUUUUUUUUUAAACCCACGUUUUUAAAUACCUGGGCAAAAAGUAAGUUUGAUCCACGAGAACAAAAAUUACGAAAGUCCAUACAUUUUUGGCAGGUUGCUCAAACGAAACCAUAACAACGUUUUUGCCUAGGCAUUUAAAACGUGGGUUUUAUAGAAAACCUAGAUGUUUGGGUAUCAAAAGAUCGGAAAUUUUAUGCUCUUUCCGAUGCCACAUAGGGUGACUUCUCAAGUAACCACCCAGCACUAAAAGAAAUCAUAAAUUGGCUUCUAAACAGCAUAGAAAAGCAAAUUAGUCAUAAUACAGCUAAGCUCAUCACAAAUCAGCUCUAAUGAUGCUGCCACUGGCAACACUGCAACACAAUAUUUCAUCAAACUGGCAACACGGUUUUGUUUCGUGUACGAGCGAAAGAGACAGCACCAAGAAAUUAAACGAAAUAUAUUUCCUACUCUUUCAUCCAUUCAACCAAAAUAAAUCGAGCCAGGAGCAGACAGCUUGGAAGAGAUAUCUUUGGGUGAAGAAAUUUUUUGCUGUUUUCAUCAUGUUGGGUAUCAAUUGACUUAACUUAACUGCAUGUUCCUGUCAACUUCUACUGUUCUGGAGGCCUUCGCGACCAGAUGGAUAUUUACGGAAAUGGAGGAAAGCAGAGUUUUCAUUUCGUCAAAGCUGAAACAUCCUUUUUCGUAAAUCUAGUGAACACAGUGAACAUAGCAUGGACCUUGCCCGGUAAGCUUGUGGAUAGUAACAAAAAAACUAACUUAAUCCACCUAUGUGGUUAAUGCCUUCCUUACUUUUUACCAACAAUGGGUAAUAUGAGUGGUUUGGACACAUAUUUCAGCUAUUUUUUUAGGUCCAGAAAAAUAAGUACACAGAUAUAACUUAAGUUGUCAUAACUCGAGACAGGGUUGCCAGAUUUUCAAUUAUGUGGACUCGUUGGAAAAGCCUCUUGAUUACCUAACCAACGAUGGGUCGGAUGAUGGUUCCGGACAUCGUUUGCAUACAUUUAAGUGAGAUCCGGCUUCAAAAAGGUACAUAAAUAUCACUUAAGUGGUCAUAACUCGAGACAGGGUUGCCAGAUCUACGAUGUUGUGGACUCGUUGGAAAGGUCUCUCGAUUAUCUAACCAACGAUGGGUCGGAUGAUGGAUCCGGACAUCGUUUACAUGCAUUUAAGUGAGAUCCGGCUUCAAAAAGGUACAUAAAUAUCACUUAAGUGGUCAUAACUCGAGACAGGGUUGCCAGAUCUACGAUAAUGUGGACUCGUUGGAAAGGUCUAUUGAUUACCUAAUCAACGGUAGGUGGGAUGAUGGAUCCGGACAUCGUUUGAAUGCAUUUAAGUGAGAUCCGGCUUCAAAAAAGUACAUAAUUAUCACUUAAGUGGUCAUAACUCGAAACAGGGUUGCCAGAUCUUCGAUGUUUUGGACUCGUUGGAAAGGUCUCUUGAUUACCUAACCAACGAUGGGUCUGAUGAUGGUUCCGGACAUCGUUUACAUACAUUUAAGUGAGAUCCGGCUUCAAAAAAGUACAUAAAUAUCACUUAAGUGGUCAUAACUCGAGACAGGGUUGCCAGAUCUUCGAUGUUGUGGACUCGUUGGAAAGGUCUCUUGAUUACCUAACCAACGAUGGGUCGGAUGAUGGAUCCGGACAUCGUUUACAUGCAUUUAAGUGAGAUCCGGCUUCAGAAAAGUACAUAAAUAUCACUUAAGUGGUCAUAACUCAAGACAGGGUUACCAGAUCUUCGAAGUUGUGGACUCGUUGGAAAGGUCUCUUGAUUACCUAACCAACGAUGGGUCGGAUGAUAGAUCUGGACAUCGUUUACAUACAUUUAAGUAAGAUCCGGCUUCAAAAAAGUACAUAAAUAUCACUUAAGUGGUCAUAACUCGAGACAGGGUUACCAGAUCUUCGAUGUUGUAGACUUGUUGGAAAGGUCUUUUGAUUACCUAACCAACGAUGGGUCGGAUGAUGGAUCCGGACAUCUUUUACUUGCAUAUAAUUGAGAUCCGGAUAUAUUUGAAAACACAUUUUAAUACAUAACUUUUGAACUACUUAUCGAAACUUCAAACAAUUCAAUAGCGAUGUAUGGGACCCUAAACCAAGUCGAAUGCAACUGGUUCGAUCAAAAUCGGUUCAGCCAGUGCUGAGAAAACUUGGCAAGAUUUUUGAACACAUACAUACAUACACACACACAUACACACACACAGACAUUUGUUCAGUUUUCGAUUCUGAGUCGAUAUGUAUAUAUGAAGGUGGGUCUUCGAGCUUUUAAUAAAAAGUUCAUUUUUAGAGCAGGAUUAUUGCCUUACCUCAGUGAGGAAGGCAAAAAAGACUAAAAGGAACACAGUUAAAAAAAACAUGGUAAAAUUACAUCUAAAAAGGAGUACAUCUUUUAUGUCACAAAAAAG